rfam:Ananas comosus cultivar MD2 ACMD2_Scaffold_344, whole genome shotgun sequence.
AACAUGAAAAGAGAGCUUCCUUCAGCCCACUCAAGGGCGGUUGAGGGAUUGAACUAGCUGCCGACUCAUUCAUCCACAUACCAAGUGAUCAAAAAAGAUGUGCACUUUGCUUGGUAAAUGAGUGAAUGAUGCGGGAGAUGAGUUGGAUCCUACGCCAUCCUUGCUUGGACUGAAGGGAGCUCCCUUCUUCUUCACU